GGUAUGUGCUCAAAGCAGGGCCAGGAGAACAGCUUCUCUGUUUACAACACACUCAAGAAGAUCAUGGGGACAUGGUAAUGAGAGGCACAGCACUGUGUCCUCUGUGACCUGAAAAAAAAAGCAAAGCUUUGAGAGU
rnacentral:snoRNA from 1 species